ensembl:lncRNA
GUCCUUACUAACGGAAAGGAGGGACGGAUGGAAGGAAGGAAGGAAGGAAAUUCUGCUACAAGAUUCAACGUGAAGAUGUGGGAAACGGGGCAGCAUCAGGGAGGAUGACUGAGAGAAGACUCCCAAGAUGUUCCUUGAAGACUCUCCGUAUCUCUGAAACCACGUAUUACGGUCUCAGUCAUGCAGUGGUGGUAUCUGAUCGGCUCUGAUUUGGCAGACCUCUUCAAAGUAUGAGAAAUUUCCCAGAAGAAAACUUAGUCCCUCAGAGACGGACACCAAAUCAGCUGCUGUCUGCCCUGAGCAUCUCCCAUGAAUGAAAGAACAGCUCCUGGUCUGAUGUUGCCGAUCCUCCCCACUUUGUCUGAGACCCUCACGAGUGCAGGAAGCAGGGAGGAGAACCCAACUCUUACGUGUACAUUUGAAUCUCAAGUCCCAAUUUAUAAAGGGAUACUGGCUUCCCAGGUG